rnacentral:lncRNA from 1 species
GGGCCUCAUCACAUGAGAAGAAGCACCUGGAAAGGGCAGUGCUUAAAGCGAUGAGACUUCAGGGGUGGGAUAUAGAGGGGAUGGGAGUGGGACCAAAGGCCCACCUCUCACUUCCUUGCCAUCCUGGGAGGUGGUGGGGAAUGCAGAACCAGGUUCAGGGGAGGGAAAGGGGCUAGCAUGAAGGUCCAGGGCAGGAAUGCUGAGGGCUCUUCAGCCUGGGCAUCACCCAGUGCUGCCUCCCGUCUUUAGGAGUUAUAGGAGUAUACGGAGCUCCCCACCGAAGGAAGGAGACAGCGGGGGCCCUGGAAGUAGCAGAUGAUGAAGACACCCAGACAGAGGAGCCCUUGGAUCAGAGGGCAGCACAGAUAGUGGAAGAGGCCUUGUCCCUGGAAAACCAGCCUGGGGCUGGGGCUGCUAUCUCAGCCUCAGCCCCAGCUCUGCCAUCUUGAGAGCCAGCAGCUCCAGAGGGCAAC